GUUCCUACGGGGCGCAGCAGUCGGGAAUAUUGCGCAAUGGAGGAAACUCUGACGCAGUGACGCCGCGUGCAGGAAGAAGGUUUUCGGAUUGUAAACUGCUUUAGACAGGGAAGAAAAAAGACAGUACCUGUAGAAUAAGCUCCGGCUAACUACGUGCCAGCAGCCGCGGUAAUACGUAGGGAGCAAGCGUUAUCCGGAUUCACUGGGCGUAAAGGGAGCGCAGGCGGCACGGCAAGCCUGGUGUGAAAACCCGGGGCCCAACCCCGGGAGUGCGUUGGGAACUGCCGCGCUAGAGUGACGGAGGG
rnacentral:rRNA from 1 species